rnacentral:tRNA from 1 species
GCCUUGGUAGCUCAAUUGGCUAGAGCGUGGGACUUUUAUCCGAUCAGAUUGCGGAAUCCCAAGGUUGCGGGGUAAGUGCAUAUCAACUCCAGGUCA